rnacentral:rRNA from 1 species
GGCAGCUGACGAGUCCUUAACUGACGCUAAUGCUCGAAAGUGCGGGUAUCGAACAGAUUAGAUACCCUGGUAGUCCCGCACGGUAAACGAUGGAUGCCCGCUGUCGGCGAUACACAGUCGGCGGCCAAGCGAAAGCCUUAAGCAUUCCACCUGGGGAGUACGCCGGCAACGGUGAACUCAAAGGAAUUGACGGGGGGCCGCACAAAGCGGAGGAACAUGUGGUUUAAUUCGAUGAUACGCGAGGAACCUUACCCGGGCUUGAACUGCAGCAGAACGAUUGAGAGAUCAUGAGGUCCCUCGGGACUGCUGUGGAGGCGCUGCAUGGUUGUCGUCAGCUCGUGCCGUGAGGUGUCGGCUUAAGUGCCAUAACGAGCGCAACCCCUUCCGUCAGUUGCCAUCACUUCGGGUGGGCACUCUGGCGGUACUGCCACCGUAAGGUGCGAGGAAGGUGGGGAUGACGUCAAAUCAGCACGGCCCUUACGUCCGGGGCUACACACGUGUUACAAUGGGGGGUACAGAGAGCUGGCGCACGGCAAUGUGCGUCGAAUCAUGAAAGCCUCCCUCAGUUCGGUUGGUCUGCAACCCGACCCCAUGAAGCUG